GUCCACGCUGUAAACCAUGUCAACUGGGUGUCGGUGGUGUUACACUAUCGGUGCCGAAGCUAACGCGUUAAGUUGACCGCCUGGGGACUACGAGCGCAAGCUUAAAACUCAAAGGAAUUGACGGGCCCGCACAAGCAGCGGAGCGUGUGGUUUAAUUCGAUGCGACACGAAGAACCUUACCUGGGUUUGACAUGGCCGUAGUAGUGAACCGAAGGGGAACGAGCCUUCGGGCAGCGGUCACAGGUGUUGCAUGGCUGUCGU
rnacentral:rRNA from 1 species